AGUUUUGUUUUCAGACAGCCCAGCAUCCACCCUUCCAGAUCUUCUGAAGAAACUUCUGUGCAGGUGCCAAGGUUGCACCCUGCCUGCCUAAAACACUCCAAAUAGCUGAGGAGGACUUGUUUCUGCUGAGGUCGUUAGGACUCAACCUUGCUGGUCACUUCCUCCUGGCUCCUGACAUCUGCCGACCUUUAUCAAUGCUGCUCUGGCUUAGGCCUCACACAAAUCAGCAACAUGGAUACUUCCUUGAUGGAAAACAAGCACCACCACCAACAAACCCAGUCAGACCCAAGGCUUCUAGGAACCGAUAUUUGGAAAAUCAGAACUGGCUUUGACAAAAAUGUCAAGUGGCUGUUCAUUCUGAUUUGGAUGCUUUGGCCGGGGUGGUGGGGUAGAGCUCAGAACGAGUUUCUAUAUUAGCCAGUAAUUAAAGUUCAAUUACUCUUUAGUGGCUUUCACUGGGGAGACACUGACAGAAGUUCAAGGGACUUGACUUUUGGUGGCUGGUGUGUGACUUGGAUGGAGAAUGGCUGGAUGGAGAAUGGCUGGCUCUUCAGUCAUGCAGUGUUGGCUUCUGCAGCAAUUUCUAAGCAAAAACGCCAUCAGAGUUUUGUCAUCUUCUGAAAAAUAAAUCAGAAACCAAUGACAGGAUAGGACAAAUUUUCCCUUUCUGUGGAGACGAGGACAAAUUCUCCCAACUGACUUAUUCAUUGAAUUACAUGACUGGGUUUGUAGGUCUUUGAAUUUCAAUCUAUAUUUAAGACAUGCUUGACUCUAG